rnacentral:rRNA from 1 species
AGAUUAAGUUAUUAAGGGCGCACGGUGGAUGCCUUGACACUAGAAGCCGAUGAAGGACGUUACUAACGACGAUAUGCUUUGGGGAGCUGUAAGUAAGCUUUGAUCCAGAGAUUUCCGAAUGGGGAAACCCAGCAUGAGUUAUGUCAUGUUAUCGAUAUGUGAAUACAUAGCAUAUCAGAAGGC